CAUCCCUAUGAUGAUUUUUUGUUAAUAUUAAAGUAGUGGACUGAAUCUUGUUGAGGAGAAACAAAAUCUGAGGGAUGCUCAAAUAUUUAAUUUAUUGUGUUUUACCAUUCAUUGUUAUGAUUCAUAAUGUGUAAGUGUUUUAAGCACGGCCCUUAAGAUCGCCUUCCUCAUAAACAAUGGAAGCGUUUUGAGUCAUAGCUGUGUAAUAUCAAC